UACAGAGGGUGCGAGCGUUGUCCGGAAUCACUGGGCGUAAAGGGCGCGUAGGCGGCGCGGUAAGUCACUUGUGAAAUCUCUGAGCUUAACUCAGAACGGCCAAGUGAUACUGCAGUGCUAGAGUGCAGAAGGGGCAAUCGGAAUUCUUGGUGUAGCGGUGAAAUGCGUAGAUAUCAAGAGGAACACCUGAGGUGAAGACGGGUUGCUAGGCUGACACUGACGCUGAGGCGCGAAAGCCAGGGGAGCAAACGGG
rnacentral:rRNA from 1 species